UAUAGGCUGCACGACUGGCGAUAGAGACCUGCGACAUGCGUGGUCUCGAGGUGGGACGAACCACCGGGGAGUGCUGGAUUUCGAGCGCAGUGUUUCACUUUGCAGAAGAGUGAAACACCGCGCUAGCCGUUCGCCUGGGCCAGCGCC
rnacentral:ncRNA from 2 species